rnacentral:lncRNA from 1 species
CAAGAUGUUUAAAACCUCAUGCAUAAACAGAAUAUGAGGAAUAUAUCUUCCCAUUCUCACUACUGUCCAUGACAUACAUUUUAGACCAACAUGGUCCAUUGUGAUUGUCUGCGAGUUGAACUCCAUUCUGUAGGACUCUACCAGGGCCUCCAGAGGGCGCUGUUGAUUGGACUUUGCUCAUGCUGUGCUGCGUUGGUGAGCUGAGCUGAGGCAAGUCACUUUCCAUUCUGUUCUUAUCAGAGGAUGGCUGCAGGCUCUGGAAGUGGCUCAGCAGUCUUCUCUGGGACUGUGUCUUCACCUCAUCCUUGGACAGGAAGUGCACAAUCUCUUGGACACAUCUGGAGUAACCCUGAUUGACAGGUGCUGAACAGGAGGAGGAGCUCACUGGCUGGUACUGUUGCUGUCGUUUCAGGAAGCAAACUGUCAUCUCCAGGAUGGUUGCUUUCUCUAGCUUGGAGUCGGGCUGCUGAUUGAGGAUCUCUGGACCCAGGAAAGGCUGCUGUUGAUACGAUCUAUGCUUCUCCACCAAUGGCUUUCUUCACUGCAAGAAGAGAAGAGGUGUAAACUCUCUCUGUUGGAGAGGAAGUGCAGCAGUGGUGUGGAGAAACUGAAGAUAGCUAUUAUAGAACAUCUCCAGAAUAGGAUCCCUACAUCUCCUAUAUCUCCUAUUUUGGCGAAGACUGUGUCUUUUUUCACUCAGAAGAAGACCUUGCUGUCACCCACCAGUUAUUCCAAAUGUUCCAGGGACAUGCUGCAUCUCUUUCCCACUCCAGAGGACAUUGUACCACUCUGCUUCGAACAAUGAACUUAGAGAGAUGCAUGGAUGGGGAGAUUAUAGGUCAGGGGUUACAUAUUGGUCUGAGACUAGGGUCUGAGACAAAAUGAUCACUGCAGCGUGAGAUACAAACCUGUGGAGCGGGCAUGAACUGAGCCGAUGAUGAACAGAGCACAAUAUACUGUUCAUGUGCAAAUUCAGCUUGGAUAUAUCAGAGCGCCAUAUCUACAUUGGGAAAAUAUUCCCACCAUGGUGAUUGGCUGGUUGUCCCAUUUGGACCAGACUGUUAGAGAUUGGUCUGGAACCUAUUCUGUUGAUUUACAUGAAAUGUAAAGUUGCAGAAUCAUUUGAAAUGCAUUGUAUGUAUUUAUAUAAGAAGAAGUGUACUGCCUUACUCUUUCUGUGAAAUUAUUAACUAAAUACCCUGAGAUCUGGUUCAAGGUGAAACGCUGCCUCAAAUAACGGUAGAAAAUAAAUUAACAUGCAUACCUUUAUUUCUGUAAAGGAACAGUGCAUUGUUGUGCAUGAAAAAUACAUAAGGUAAAUGUUUAUUUGAUCUUUAUCUUAUCCAAAGAGGAUUUAUAUUCUUGUUAAUAUUGUUGUCUAACUUUGUCAGCUAAUUAAACUGCAGACA